UACGAAGGGGGCUAGCGUUGCUCGGAAUCACUGGGCGUAAAGCGCACGUAGGCGGGUCUUUAAGUCAGGGGUGAAAUCCUGGAGCUCAACUCCAGAACUGCCUUUGAUACUGAGGAUCUCGAGUCCGGGAAAGGUGAGUGGAACUCCGAGUGUAGAGGUGAAAUUCGUAGAUAUUCGGAAGAACACCAGUGGCGAAGGCGGCUCACUGGCCCGGUACUGACGCUGAGGUGCGAAAGCGUGGGGAGCGAACAGG
rnacentral:rRNA from 1 species